CAAGAAUGCAGCUUUCUGACAGGUCUUCAUUAUUUUCCUGCUGUGCUCGGAACUGCUCCCAGCACUCUACAGAGCAACACAAAGUGUGUUUGAUGGCUUUCUCAAUGACUGGAUACAUCAUCAGAAAACCUGCACACACCAAACCUGCUACACUUCUGCUGCUCUGCUGAGCAGCUGGUACCCUUCCUUCUAGGAUGGUAAGACUCAACAUGUUGUUACAUUCACCUGCUGGCACUCCGGGCCUCUAUGAGAUGCACUUUAUAGCUGUCCCACACCCAGGCUGCUCCUGCAGAAACUCACACAAGCAGCACGCUGCUGCUAAUGGUCUGUAUCAUCACCCAACACACUGCUACAGUGUUCUCUGUGUGUCCAGUGGCAAAGCUGCAGCCCCACUGACGGGCGAAGAGGAACAGCCUGACAGCUUUACAAAACUACAACAAGGAGCACAAUAACACUGUUUGAUAGAGCAAGUGCUGAGCUACAAAACACUAUUUUUCAGCACAGUUACCACCACAAGAUCUGCAUUUUCACCAGUGAUGAACAAGAGCCUGCAUACCGCACUCAUGAAGACCUGUACUAGCAGAGGUGACUGUUGCCAUAGCUGAAACACACCACCCUCACAUCUCUCUGUGCUCACAUCCACCUUUUGUCUCCAUAAACGUUCAGUGUCAAUG
ensembl:lncRNA